rnacentral:rRNA from 1 species
AGCAGCCGCGGUAAUUCCAGCUCCAAUAGCGUAUAUUAAAGUUGUUGCAGUUAAAAAGCUCGUAGUUGAACCUCGGGAUCAAUGGAUCGGUCAUGCCAUCGGUAUGUACUGGUCUCAUUGGUUCUCACCUUCUAAGGAACCAUGAUGUCAUUCAUUUGAUGUUGUGGGGAAUUAGGACUGUUACCUUGAAAAAAUUAGAGUGUUUAAAGCAGGCUAACGCUUGAAUACAUUAGCAUGGAAUAAUGAAAUAGGACAUCGCAUUCUAUUUUGUUGGUUUCUAGGAUCGAUGUAAUGAUUAAUAGGGAUAGUUGGGGGCAUUAGUAUUCAAUUGUCAGAGGUGAAAUUCUUGGAUUUAUUGAAGACUAACUACUGCGAAAGCAUUUGCCAAGGAUGUUUUCAUUAAUCAAGAACGAAAGUUAGGGGAUCGAAGACGAUCAGAUACCGUCGUAGUCUUAACCAUAAACUAUGCCGACUAGGGAUCGGAUGAUGUUGAUUUUUUAAUGACUCAUUCGGCACCUUACG